GCAGGGUCUGUGUGGUGCGCAGCCUUCCUUCCCCCUGUUAACACAAUCCCAGUGGGUGGCCCCUUGGUAUCUGCCUGAGGGUCCGUGCUCAAGAGCCCUACGUAGUUAAUGGCUGCUGCGGUGAGAGGAAGGCAGGCGAGGCCGCCAACAGCCCUUGUAUCCUGCUUUCAUGGUGAACUGCCCAACCAGACAACCCCCACACGUUACUAAGUGCUCCCAGAUGGGACCAUCUCACCGUCUUUCCAGUUCCAGGCGUGAAGACUCACUGACUUAUGAAACAUCCUUUAAUUUCAACAGAGUUUGAUUAUGUUAGCAUAAUACAAUUCACUACUUGGAAAACAAAAAAAGGCAUUUUACAGCUUUACAGAUAGGCCUUAGAGCUACACACCUCACUACUAAGAAAACCAAGUGCUGCAACAGAACCCAGGAGAGUUAAGUGGGGCAACACAGCAGUAGCAGAAGAGCAAGAUGACAGAAAGAAUACAUAAAGCAUCUGACAUAAUUUAAAAGGGAAUAUUCAUUAGUUCUUAAAGACUCCCCACACCAAUGCCACACAAAUCUACAGAGAACGCUUCACCCAACCCCAGCCUUUCAUGAAAAAUGCUGCACAAGACAAAGCUGUUUGGUCUAAUCACGCAGGAACUUCAAACAGAUCUGACUACAGAAUCAUGAAAAAACCUCUGGCAGGCAGUAGGUACCUGCUGCAGCGCACUGUACAGUCUCCCCCCGCACAGGGUAACUGCUAAGUCCCGCACAAGCGCAUCACUCCCACAAAGCCCAUCUCCAGACCGAGCCAGGAGCAGCCAGCCCACUUCAGGCACAGCUGUGCUCUCUUGAGGCUCUGUCUGUGCUGGCAGGCAGGGAAGCGGAGCGGGCAGCACUAGGAGCAGAUGGCACAGCGCCUGGCAAGAUGGCCAGCUGCACGGCGAGCGGCGGACAGACCAUCCCCUCGCGGCAGCUGCGCAGGCACAGCUGGGACAUCCCGCCUGCAAUACGAACAAGGGAAGUCGAAGGAAGGUUGCCAAACAGGUUUUGUAACAUCAUGGCCAUCAACUUGGAGGUAAACUUUCACACAAUGCACAAGAACUACAAAAUGUGAAGCUAUCAGAAGUAUUCUGCCAAAGUACUCCCAGGAUUAUGGAGUGCACAGCCAUGGUAGCCGAAGAAAAGCUUAAAAGACCACCUGCAGACCCAAACCUUCCUGAGGAAAGAUCCUUCUGCCCCCAUGGCAUGAGCUGUUAAGCUCGUGGCUUCUGAAGCCAGCCCAUGAGUGCUGAAUUCCCGCUCUGCCUGUUCCCUUCUUCUCCUACCACGCUACUGAAUAUAAAUCAGCUCCUGCUCAGACAAGAGCAAGUCUUCUACUCAAAACUCUUUCAAGACGUGUUCUUCCUUUUACAUCAAACAUGAUCCUGUACGUACAAAAAGAAGCAGUGCAGAAGGAAACAUGAGUUCUUACUUACAUAUAUAUUUUAAAAUCUUAAACUGAAAAAAAGUAAUAGAAGUGCAUGUUCCCUUUUUGACUCUUGAAAGAGCUUUCUGCACAUACUUAUACCACCACACCACUAUAAAGCUGAAACAGUGCAGAUGUUUCUAAACUGGCAAAAACUUUGAUGGCAAACCACCUGAGUAGUACAGCAUGAAAGGACAAACCUGUCCCCACAAGCAAACAGCACGGCUGUGCUCACCAGGCGUUACACCCCAGUUACUCCAUCAGGCUUUACUCCGAAACGUACCUACCCUGUUUCUGACCCCAAGCUGGCUUCCACGUAACCAGCUCAGGCAUCCCUGCGCCACGCUCACUCACGCCUUCAGAUCCUAAGACAGCAUGAGCAGAUGUGCCUCCGUGUCUCGUAUAAUUGCCCGCUGUGGGAAAUAGCUUUAACACUACGAAGCUGAAGUUUUGGUGUGAAAGUGUGCCAGUUUCUGGAUGGAAGACGGUCAGCAAGAGUGCAGGUUUAUAUCCUUCUGCUACUUCUGCUUGCCAAAUCCCACUUAGCUCUCCUUUUCUCAGAGGGGGAUACGCGAAGUACCUGAGCUUUCUCUGCCCUCUCGUACUUCCAUGCACCUGACUUCAAGCACAGGCACACUUUUAUAGAUCUCUGAAGAUCUAGAUCCCCAUUUUGAAGAGCUAAGCCCACCUCUCUUCAGAGGUUCACCAGGAGAAGCAGAGACCAGGAAGUGAGCCCAGGAAUCCUGCUUUGCAGCACAGGAUGUGCCAGCGCAGGGCCUGUGCCAGGCUGCCUUGGAAUGGCUUUAUUCAAACGAAGGAACUCUGGAGGAAAAGAAGCCAUAAUAAACUCACUCGCAUGACAGCAAUUUUGCUCUGGCUAGACAAGUGACUAUGAACCUGACAGAGCUCUUCCCUCUUUGGGAUCUCACACCUGGCAGGUCACGAUUACUAGGGUUUGAGGAAUAUAUUUAGUCACGACUUAACCACGGACACAAAAGCAGCUGGCUCUCUUCCGUAAUUCUCGAGGCCACAGCUCACCCCUGUCACAGCGCAUCACUUCAUUCCCACUGAGGACGUCUCUGCACAGUACCAAAAGCCUUCUGUUCCUCGAAAAGCCACCAAAUUUAACUCGAAACGGAUCUUACCAAGACACAGCACAGCUUCUGGAAGGGGAAAGCAGAUGGCACGACGCCCCGCGAUAUGCCGAUACCCUUUUGCUGGUUCAAUUCACGGGCACAGACGUGACGAGGAGGAGCAGUGGACCCAAUGCACCGCGUCCCCCGAGUUCUUCAGACUAGGCGAGAGGGAAACUUGACGAGCGCUCAAACCCACGGGCAAAGAGGAACGCACCGGGUCUCCGGGUCCUUGUAUUUCACGAGCUCAGCUGGAAGAGACCUUCAGACAACAUUGAGUCCGACUGCCUGACCACUUCAGGGGUAACCAAAAGUUAAAGCGUAUUAUUGAGGGCUUUAUCUGAACAUCUCUUGAACACUGACAGGCGUCCGUGACUCAAAUCGACUCAUUGUGCAGUGAGUACCAGGGCUUGACCCAGAAAGAGAUGAAAAUUGUGCGGCCUGAAGUCAUAGAACCACAGAAUCGUUAAGGUUGGAAAAGACCUCCAAGAUCGUCUGGUCCAACCAUCCUCCUACCACCAGUGUCACCCACUAAACCAUG